GCCAGACUCCUACGGGAGGCAGCAGUGGGGGAUAUUGCACAAUGGGGGAAACCCUGAUGCAGCGACGCCGCGUGGGCGAAGAAGUAUUUCGGUAUGUAAAGCCCUAUCAGCAGGGAAGAAGAAAUGACGGUACCUGAGUAAGAAGCACCGGCUAAAUACGUGCCAGCAGCCGCGGUAAUACGUAGGGGGCAAGCGUUAUCCGGAUUUACUGGGUGUAAAGGGGGCGCAGACGGCAGCGCAAGCCAGGAGUGAAAGCCCGGGGCCCAACCCCGGGACUGCUCUUGGAACUGCGCGGCUGGAGUGCAGGAGGGGCAGGCGGAAUUCCUGGUGUAGCGGUGAAAUGCGUAGAUAUCAGGAGGAACACCGGUGGCGAAGGCGGCCUGCUGGACUGCGACUGACGUUGAGGCCCGAAAGCGUGGGGAGCAAACAGGAUUAGAUACCCGUGUA
rnacentral:rRNA from 1 species